rnacentral:tRNA from 1 species
GGCCCUGGGGUGUUAAGACAUAUAAGAUUGCAAAUCUUAAGUAGCAGGCUACUACCCCUGCCUGGGCUU